rnacentral:rRNA from 1 species
CCCUUAGAUGUCCGGGGCUGCACGCGCGCUACACUGAAGGAAUCAGCGUGCUAAAACCAUUGUCGAAAGGCAUUGGUAAACCCAUUAAAAUCCUACGUGAUUGGGAUCGGGAAUUGCAAUUAUUUCCCUUAAACGAGGAAUUCCCAGUAAGUGUGGGUCAUAAGCUCGCGUUGAUUACGUCCCUGCCCUUUGUACACACCGCCCGUCGCUGCCCGGGACUGAGCCGUUUCGAGAAAAGCGGGGACUGCUGCUGUCGGGGCUUUCGGGCCUUGGCUUCGGUGGAAACCGCUUUAAUCGCAGUGGCUUGAACCGGGCAAAAGUCGUAACA